rnacentral:rRNA from 1 species
UACGUAGGGUGCAAGCGUUAUCCGGAAUUAUUGGGCGUAAAGAGCUCGUAGGCGGUUUGUCGCGUCUGCUGUGAAAACUGGGGCUCAACCCCAGCCUGCAGUGGGUACGGGCAGACUAGAGUGCGGUAGGGAGAUUGGAAUUCCUGGUGUAGCGGUGAAAUGCGCAGAUAUCAGGAGGAACACCGAUGGCGAAGGCAGGUCUCUGGGCAUUAACUGACGCUGAGGAGCGAAAGCAUGGGGAGCGAACAGG